rnacentral:rRNA from 1 species
UACGUUGGACAUAGCAUGUGGGUU